GAGGGCAGAGUCUUUACAAAAUUUAAAGACUGAUUGAUUGGGUCCCAGCUCAUACUCCACAACUACCAAAACGGACUGCCCAGACCUACCCAGACCUACCGCUUACCGGGAUGGCUGGAGGGAGUUUGCCCAACUAACACUAAAGAGUGUGAAAUUAAAUAAGACUUUAAGACCUGUAAUCGGUGGCAAACACCAGCUGAAGACAUGCCUGACCCUGCGUUCCAUACUUCCCUCCCGGAGGGUCUUUCUUUGAAGGGGAGUGGAGCUGGCAGAGCUCAAGCUGAGAAUCUCUACGUUGAAUGAGAGAUGACCUUGAAAAUCUGUACGACUCUUUGCAACUCCUCAGUUUUUCUGAAAAGGACAGUUAAAAAGAAAAGAAGAGAAGAGAAGAGAAGAGAAGAGAAGAGAAGAGAAGAGAAGAGAAGAGAAGAGAAGAGAAGAGAAGAGAUAAGAAAAAAGAAACCUAGCCUCAAAAAUAGACAAAUAUCAUUAGCAACAACUCUUGCCACUCCAGAAUUCAAAUCUUGAGACAAGGACGCCUGUAAUCUAGAGAACCUUCUAUCUUUGAUGCAAACGAGUCUACAGUAAAAUGAGGCAUUGUGGGAGAUGGCACUGGGAUGCCCACAGUUAUACUGAGGUUUAAAAGGAGAAACUAGAAUAGGAUUAGUAAACACGUUGGGUAGAAA
ensembl:sense_intronic Gm27195 predicted gene 27195